AUUGAACGCUGGCGGCAGGCCUAACACAUGCAAGUCGAGCGGAUGACGGGAGCUUGCUCCUUGAUUCAGCGGCGGACGGGUGAGUAAUGCCUAGGAAUCUGCCUGGUAGUGGGGGACAACGUUUCGAAAGGAACGCUAAUACCGCAUACGUCCUACGGGAGAAAGCAGGGGACCUUCGGGCCUUGCGCUAUCAGAUGAGCCUAGGUCGGAUUAGCUAGUUGGUGAGGUAAUGGCUCACCAAGGCGACGAUCCGUCACUGGUCUGAGAGGAUGAUCAGUCACACUGGAACUGAGACACGGGCCAGACUCCUACGGGAGGCAGCAGUGGGGAAUAUUGGACAAUGGGCGAAAGCCUGAUCCAGCCAUGCCGCGUGUGUGAAGAAGGUCUUCGGAUUGUAAAGCACUUUAAGUUGGGAGGAAGGGCAGUAAGCGAAUACCUUGCUGUUUUGACGUUACCGACAGAAUAAGCACCGGCUAACUUCGUGCCAGCCGCCGCAGUAAUAC
rnacentral:rRNA from 1 species